UGGAACGCCAGUGUUAAUGGUCAUGGU
rnacentral:sRNA from 1 species